rnacentral:rRNA from 1 species
ACGGAAGGCAGCAGUGGGGAAUAUUGGACAAUGGGCGCAAGCCUGAUCCAGCGACGCCGCGUGAGUGAAGAAGUAUUUCGGUAUGUAAAGCUCUAUCAGCAGGGAAGAUAAUGACGGUACCUGACUAAGAAGCCCCGGCUAACUACGUGCCAGCAGCCGCGGUAAUACGUAGGUGGCAAGCGUUGUCCGGAAUUACUGGGUGUAAAGGGAGCGCAGGCGGGACUGCAAGUUGGAUGUGAAAUACCGGAGCUCAACUCCGGGGCUGCAUCCAAAACUGUAGUUCUUGAGUGGAGUAGAGGUAAGCGGAAUUCCGAGUGUAGCGGUGAAAUGCGUAGAUAUUCGGAGGAACACCAGUGGCGAAGGCGGCUUACUGGGCUCUAACUGACGCUGAGGCUCGAAAGCGUGGGGAGCAAACAGGAUUAGAUACCCUGGUA